AAGUCGUAACAAGGUUUCCGUAGGUGAACCUGCGGAAGGAUCAUUAACACGUAUCCAACGUUAAACAACCCUGUGAACCUUCAUUCCUGCUCUCCUCGAGCCCUAACAAAAGCAAUCCUUGGAACAAUUUGAUUCAAGGACCUCUCUUGUCAGCCCUCGUUCGAUGCGGUCGUCGCAACUUAGGCUUGGCUUCUGCGGGGCAGUUAGUGGGUGAAAGUGCCACUGAUUGCUUAAGAUUAACUCGGAUCAUCGAGUGCCCACACGGCCGAUGAACAAGUCUCUGGGCGCAAGCCCCCAAAUUAACUACCUCUAAGCCUUAGCGGCCGCCUCGUGCUGUCGCUGUCGUGAAAGCUGAACAACUGUUAACAAUGGAUAUCUUGGUUCUC
rnacentral:misc_RNA from 1 species